rnacentral:rRNA from 1 species
GACGAACGCUGGCGGUAUGCUUUACACAUGCAAGUCGAACGGUAACAGGCCUUCGGGCGCUGACGAGUGGCGAACGGGUGAGUAAUGCAUCGGAACGUGCCCAGUCGUGGGGGACAACGCAGCGAAAGCUGUGCUAAUACCGCAUACGAUCUGCGGAUGAAAGCGGGGGACCUUCGGGCCUCGCGCGAUUGGAGCGGCCGAUGUCAGAUUAGGUAGUUGGCGGGGUAAAGGCUCACCAAGCCAACGAUCUGUAGCUGGUCUGAGAGGACGACCAGACACACUGGGACUGAGACACGGCCCAGACUCCUACGGGAGGCAGCAGUGGGGAAUUUUGGACAAUGGGCGCAAGCCUGAUCCAGCAAUGCCGCGUGCAGGAAGAAGGCCUUCGGGUUGUAAACUGCUUUUGUACGGAGCGAAAAGGCUCCCUCUAAUACAGGGGGCUCAUGACGGUACCGUAAGAAUAAGCACCGGCUAACUACGUGCCAGCCGCCGCUGUAAAAC